GACGAACCGUGCGAACGUUGUUCGGAAUCACUGGGCUUAAAGGGCGCGUAGGCGGGCUGCCAAGUCCGUAGGUGAAAUCCCCCGGCUCAACCGGGGAACGGCCUCGGAUACUGGCGGCCUGGAGGGGGGUAGGGGCGUGCGGAACUGUGGGUGGAGCGGUGAAAUGCGUUGAGAUCCACAGGAACUCCGGUGGCGAAGGCGGCACGCUGGACCCUUUCUGACGCUGAGGCGCGAAAGCCAGGGGAGCGAACAGG
rnacentral:rRNA from 1 species